rnacentral:rRNA from 1 species
AGAAAAUAGUUCAGCACUAAGUCACUUUGUCUUUAUGGCAAAUGUGAGAUGCAGUGUAUGGAAUGUCAAAUUUCUAGUAUGAGAAAUUAACGAUUUAAGUCCUUCUUAAAUGAGGCCAUUUACCCAAAGAGGGUGCCAGGCCCGUAUAACGUUAAUGAUUACUAGAUGGCAUUUCCAAAGAGUCGUGUUGCUUGAUAGUGCAGCACUAAGUGGGUGGUAAACUCCAUCUAAAACUAAAUAUAACCAUGAGACCGAUAGUAAACAAGUACCGUGAGGGAAAGUUGAAAAGAACUCUGAAUAGAGAGUUAAAUAGUACGUGAAACUGCUUAGAGGUUAAGCCCGAUGAACCUGAAUAUCCAUUAUGGAAAAUUCAUCAUUAUGAUUUUAAUAUUUGUAAUAUUAUAAUAAUGGUGUGCAUUUUUUCUAUAAAGGACAUUGUAAUCUAUUAACUUUAAUAUAUUUAUCAUAAGAUCAUUAGAUUAUGUUUAUUCAAAUUAUUUUGCUUGCAAUUUAAUAUCGAAUAAUUCUUUUGAUUUGAUAAAGNGUUGAUAGAUUUAUU